rnacentral:tRNA from 1 species
CGACAACGGCAGGAAUCGAACCUGCGCGGGCAGAACCCAUUGGAUUAGCAGUCCAACCCCUUAACCACUCGGGCACGUUAUCUC